rnacentral:lncRNA from 1 species
CUACUAAAAAUACAAAAAUUAGCCAGACAUAGUGGCACAUGCCUAUAAUCCCAGCUACUGGGGAGGCUGAGGUGGGAGAAUUGCUUGAACCCGGGAGGUGGAGGUUGCAGUCAGCCGAGAUCACAACACUGCACUCCAACCUGGGCAACAGAGCAAGACUCCAUCUCAAAACAAAAACAAAACCAACCAAACAAAGAAAAAGUUUUAGGGCAGUAAGGAAAGGAGGUAAAGUACACUUGGAAGAGGGUCAAGCAGGUGACUUGAGAGAGUCAAGUGCACUGUUUGAUCUUGGACUUGGGGUUUGAUAGGUUGGCAUCCUUCCGGGGCUUGCGUUAACUUUCCCCUGGUUCUUCCCUUGGGGUGGUCUGUCCGCAUGCGCAGUGGCCUGCCAGCGCUCCGGAGGGGCCUCAUGCGCAGCGUGUUUACUGAAGUGCGCAUGCUCACUUGAGGCAUUCUUCCUUUACCAGUCAAAUGCUCCCAGGUCAUAUGCCAGUUAAACUCCACCAUGUUGCCUCUUAGUGCACAUGCUUGAGCCCACUCGCCCAGCUCCUGAGAUCUUAUCGGGAAGCUGCUGAUCACCAGUUCCAGGUGCUUUCUAUCUAUUGGGAAACGGCCUUUCCCUGGUGUUGAUUGCAACCAAUUAUUAUUUUAAGAGAGACAGUUACCAA